GACGGAGGAUGCAAGUGUUAUCCGGAAUCACUGGGCGUAAAGCGUCUGUAGGUGGUUUAAUAAGUCAACUGUUAAAUCUUGAGGCUCAACUUCAAAAUCGCAGUCGAAACUAUUAGACUAGAGUAUAGUAGGGGUAAAGGGAAUUUCCAGUGGAGCGGUGAAAUGCGUAGAUAUUGGAAAGAACACCGAUGGCGAAAGCACUUUACUGGGCUAUUACUAACACUCAGAGACGAAAGCUAGGGUAGCAAAUGGGAUUAG
rnacentral:rRNA from 1 species